GAGGCCUCCAACAAGUUGGCGGAGCUGCCCUCGCUGCCCGCCCCCGCACCGUCCGCCUUUCCCUCUCCUGGUGCAAUUCGUUUCCUUAAGGGGCAGUAACAUGGGUCCCACGUUUUCUUGCGUUUCCUCCCACGGAAGCGGGCAUCCUGGAAGCAAUGCGUCCUUGGAAAGUCGAUGAGUUUACGGGCUGUUUGGAUUUACUUGUUUUACUACUGUCAUUUUUUUUCUUUCGGAUGUUUUUUCUUUUUUUAAAAGCAGAAGCGGAGAACUCGAGAUGGGAGUUGGAAGAAAGAUGGGUCGUUGAAGAAGAGAACAGGACAAGUAUACCUUUUUUUCCAACUAUAUUUCUCUAAUUAAUGCUAGAAACAGCAAAGAACCGAUUUUCAAUACAUUACAUGCAACAGGAAAUUUUCCUUUCCUCGCACUAUGAUUGAACCAGCCCCACAGUAUCUUUGGAAGAAAGUUUGAAUUCUUUAAGGAGACUGUCCCCUCAAAUAGCUGAAGCCUGAGACAUUUGAUAUAUGUAAAACUGGCUGCUGCAACUAGAUCUUAACACUGCAGUUUGAACAGAAAAUCCUAGAGGGACUUCCCUGGUGGCGCAGUGGUUAAGAAUCCUCCUGCCAAUGCAGGGGACACAGGUUCAAUCCCUGGUCUGGGAAGAUCCCACAUGCUGAGGAGCAACUAAGCCCAUGGGCCACAACUACUGAAGCCUGAACACCUAGAGCCCGUGUCCGCAACAAGAGAAGCCACCACAAUGAGAAGCCUGCGCACCGCAACGAAGACUAGCCCCUGCUCACUGCAACUAGAGAAAGUCCGCACGGAGCACCAAAGACCCAACACAGCCAAAAAUAAAUAAAUUUAUAAAAGAAAA